CGGAUGACGGGAGCUUGCUCCUUGACUCAGCGGCGGACGGGUGAGUAAUGCCUAGGAAUCUGCCUGGUAGUGGGGGACAACGUUUCGAAAGGAACGCUAAUACCGCAUACGUCCUACGGGAGAAAGCAGGGGACCUUCGGGCCUUGCGCUAUCAGAUGAGCCUAGGUCGGAUUAGCUAGUUGGUGGGGUAAUGGCUCACCAAGGCGACGAUCCGUAACUGGUCUGAGAGGAUGAUCAGUCACACUGGAACUGAGACACGGUCCAGACUCCUACGGGAGGCAGCAGUGGGGAAUAUUGGACAAUGGGCGAAAGCCUGAUCCAGCCAUGCCGCGUGUGUGAAGAAGGUCUUCGGAUUGUAAAGCACUUUAAGUUGGGAGGAAGGGCAGUAAGUUAAUACCUUGCUGUUUUGACGUUACCGACAGAAUAAGCACCGGCUAACUCUGUGCCAGCAGCCGCGGUAAUACAGAGGGUGCAAGCGUUAAUCGGAAUUACUGGGCGUAAAGCGCGCGUAGGUGGUUUGUUAAGUUGGAUGUGAAAGCCCCGGGCUCAACCUGGGAACUGCAUCCAAAACUGGCAAGCUAGAGUGCGGUAGAGGGUGGUGGAAUUUCCUGUGUAGCGGUGAAAUGCGUAGAUAUAGGAAGGAACACCAGUGGCGAAGGCGACCACCUGGACUGAUACUGACACUGAGGUGCGAAAGCGUGGGGAGCAAACAGGAU
rnacentral:rRNA from 1 species